rfam:Salmo salar isolate Sally breed double haploid chromosome ssa27, whole genome shotgun sequence.
GGCUGGUUAGCGCAGUUGGUUAGAGCGUGGUGCUAAUAACGCCAAGGUCGUGGGUUCGAUCCCCAUAAUGGCCA